rnacentral:rRNA from 1 species
AUUGAACGCUGGCGGCAUGCCUUACACAUGCAAGUCGAACGGCAGCACGGGUGCUUGCACCUGGUGGCGAGUGGCGAACGGGUGAGUAAUACAUCGGAACAUGUCCUGUAGUGGGGGAUAGCCCGGCGAAAGCCGGAUUAAUACCGCAUACGAUCUACGGAUGAAAGCGGGGGACCUUCGGGCCUCGCGCUAUAGGGUUGGCCGAUGGCUGGUUAGCUAGUUGGUGGGGUAAAGGCCUACCAAGGCGACGAUCAGUAGCUGGUCUGAGAGGACGACCAGCCACACUGGGACUGAGACACGGCCCAGACUCCUACGGGAAGCAGCAGUGGGGAAUUUUGGACAAUGGGCGAAAGCCUGAUCCAGCAAUGCCGCGUGUGUGAAGAAGGCCUUCGGGUUGUAAAGCACUUUUGUCCGGAAAGAAAUCCUUGGCCCUAAUACGGUCGGGGGAUGACGGUACCGGAAGAAUAAGCACCGGCUAACUACGUG